GCAUACGGCAUACCACCCUGAAAGCGUCUGAUCUCGGAAGCUAAGCAGGGACGGGCUUGGUUAGUACCUGGAUGGGAAACCGCCUGGGAAUACCAGGUGUUGUAGGCU
rnacentral:rRNA from 1 species